rnacentral:misc_RNA from 1 species
GAAAUGCGAUAAGUAAUGUGAAUUGCAGAAUUCAGUGAAUCAUCGAAUCUUUGAACGCACCUUGCGCUCCUUGGUAUUCCGAGGAGCAUGCCUGUUUGAGUGUCAUUAAAUUCUCAACCCCUCCAGCUUUUGCAAGCUUGGCUGGGGCUUGGAUGUUGGGGGUUUGCGGGCCUUUAUUAUCAAAGGUCAGCUCCCCUGAAAUGUAUUAGCGGAACCGUUUGCGAUCCGUCAUUGGUGUGAUAAUUAUCUACGCCAUGUGGGUUGCUCUCUGUCUGUUCAGCUGCCAAUAGUCCAUUCACGGACAAUUUUUUGAACUCUUGACCUCAAAUCAGGUAGGACUACCCGCUGAACUUAA